ACGAUGAAGUCUUAGUAUGCAUAGCUCACUGGAUUGAGCAAUAACUUUGGUAUUUUGCAAAUUAUGAUGAGGUUAUACUUGGUUGAUUGUUACCGCCGAUGUUGAUACUCAUCCUAUGUGCUACUUACUUGGGCCAUUAUUGUGGGGAUCCUAAUGAGCUUCUAUGUUCUUGGCUAUCUACUUGGUCUAUAUGAUGCGAUGGUGUGGUGUUGUGUGGAUUACCUCACUUUGUGAAUCCUCGGUUUGUGCGGCUGUUCCUUCGUAUUGCCGCUGCUCCGCGCCGCCGCUCCUCACUCCGCUGCACUCCCUUGCCUUGCGAGAAAUUUGCAGAAUAUGUGUGUGGAGUGGGGAGGGGAGGGCGGUAUUUAUAAGCCAUUCCUUUGGCUUCUUGUGGCAGCUUAUGGGGCAUUGAGCUCCUAUUUUCGGUAUCAAGCUCAGCCCCCUUUUAAGGUGGAUGAUUAUGAUCUUUAUGCUAUUUUGGUGAUUGUUUUGGUUGCUUCCUCAGGGCUGCUACCUCAGCCUCGGAUGGUGGGAAAUGAGGGUUCUAGAUCAGCUUAUUUUGAGCAUAAACAUUGGCUCCAUUUACCAUGCUCAUUUGUUCUAACUUGCACUUUGGUGUAAGGUGGAAAAGUGAUAAGGUACCAUGGCUACCCAUGUUUGGACUCUUGUGGGUGCCAAAAUCGAGGGGAGGAAGAGGAGAAGAUGGAAGUAGGAGUUGACUAGUAUACUACUUGUCCCUUUGCCAAAAUAGUAUAAUUGCUAGAGUGUAGUGAUGGAAUCUUCAAAGUGAAGAUAUUGCAUUCCAAAAUUGUUAUGCCUCAUGGUGAAAUUCUUAUAUGUAUAGUCCUUUUCCCAAUGUACUCAUAUACUACUUGUAAUUCCAUCAUUCUUGUAUAUCUUGUACUCUUCAACUUGCUUAUUAAAUCGAAGUAUAACCUCCACUUUUA